GUCUUCAUCACAGAGCUCGCCCGCCAGUUGUAUUUACUGGAGCGGACCACCACCUUCUCCAGCGCUUGAUCCUGAACGUAGUUUGGUCACGUGGAAUUCCUGCAGAGCAGCAGUGCCCUGACCCGCUCUAUGACCCGGAGGGCAGGAAGUGGUGAGCACCCGUGAACCCUAUUUGGUCAUAAUGCAUUAUUAUUACUAAGAAUACACCAAUUGAUACUAAUUUUAAAUAGAACUUUGCAU
rnacentral:lncRNA from 1 species